CAUUUAACCUGGAAAUGAAUAGGAAGCUUCUAAUCAUCGCAGCCGUAAUGUUCCCACAACAUUCCCGCAGGACCAGUGCCAAAUACAUUUGAGGAGCAAAGGAACAGCUCUUUUUUCCUGAGGGUCCAGAAGUCAGAGAACACCCUGAAUUUGGAGCGACUGUGCCAGUCCCAAAGAUGGUCCCAAGGUCCAUCGAUGAGCAGAGGAGCAUGAAUUCUUUCAAUGCCCUGCACUUAGUACCCACAGCAAAG